UGUUAAAAAAUUUAUCCCUUUGUAUUAGUAAAAAUUGGUGUAACCGACAGAAUAACCAGACAGUGACAUGUGACAUGCCACGUGUACUUCAUGUUGACAUACAUGGAUCAAUUUUUAAUAGUAGAAAUUGAUGAAUAUUUUAACU
rfam:Gossypium arboreum cultivar AKA8401 contig_9822_3, whole genome shotgun sequence.